AUACGUGAAGUCUUGCUUGAGAAUGCUCCGGGCACCUAGUCGUGGAAGGAAGAAUAGAAAUUUCAAUAACAAAAUCCUAAUUCUAAUAGAAUACUAACAAUGCUCUAAUUCAACCAUAAUAAUGGUAAACAAGCUUAAUCAAAUUCAAAGAAACCUCAGAGAAAUUUCAAACAAAUAAUAAGUAUCCUUUAAGAAAUAUUAGAAGGAUCACAAAUAUUACUCAAAUACAUCUCAAUUCAAUCUUAAUUUAAUUCUAGUUAAAAUCUUAUUGAACUUCAUUCAAACUUUAGGCCAAAACUAAUUAAAUCUUAAAUCCUAAUAAAAUCCUAAACCCUAAAUCAAACCCUAAACAAACCUUAAAUCAAAUCCCAAUCAAAUUCUAAACCAAAUUCUAACCAAAUCCUAAAUCAAAUCCUAAACCAAAUCUUAAUCCAAAUCCUAAAUCCUAAACUAAACCCUAACUAAAUCCUAAAUCCUAAAUCAAACCCUAACCAAAUCAUAAACCCUAAAUAAAAUCCUAACCAAAUCCUAAACCAAAUCUUAAUCCAAAUCCUAAUCCAAAUCCUAAAUCCUAAUCAAAUCCUAACCAAAUCCUAAAUCCUAAAUCAAACCCUCAUCCAAA
rnacentral:lncRNA from 1 species